CCCAAGGUGUUUCUGAACACCAUUUAAAAAACUACUAAAAUGGAUA
rfam:Cariama cristata contig84949, whole genome shotgun sequence.